GAAAAACCAAAAGAGAGGCCUGAGAAGGGGCGAGACAGUUCAGCGUGUGCAGAGCUGGGUCUUUUCGUCCUGGUAUCCUCAGGCUCGGACAUGGCUCCUGCCCAGCUAAUUUAAGGCUCAUCACCAGGAUGCUAUCAUCCCAGACGAAGGCCUAGUACCAAGAUAAAGAUCAGAUCCGCUCUCGGGGAGUCCUGCCAUGAAGACACAGAGAAGGGUGACCUCCAGAGCUGAAGCACGUCACAUCUGCCUCCCAGGGCUCUGAAGUCCCUUCUGAGCAGCUUGACAACACCCACGCUUCCCCAACAGAUUCCCAGAGCGUCACUAGCCGCACCUGAGCAAGGGUCUCACCUGGUGACUUUCCUAAGAACACAACUUGGAAGAGGGUUGCCAGGGAGAAGAAACUCACGUCCCCUGAGGGAAAGGUCAGGUCAACAGCUGUGAAUCAGGCUGACAGCAGGACAGGAGAAGGGAAUGGCCCCACAUGCUGUGAUCUUCCGAACAUCUCUAGCCCUAAUCUAACCAUGAGGAACACAUCACAGAAAUAAAAUAAAGCAGGGGUGGCACAGGCCUGUGACCCCAACUCUG
rnacentral:lncRNA from 1 species